UGUUGGUUAUGUGUGCCCAAGCAUUGAGGCAGUCAAAGUAGGCAAAUCCGCUUUGAUAAUGCUGGGAUGUGAUGGGGAGCGAAAUUUAGUAGCGAAGUAGCUGAUUUCACACUGUCAAGAAAAGUCUCUAUCGAGGUUAAAGGUACCCGUACCGCAAACCGACACAGGUGGGUGAGGAGAGUAUCCUAAGGCCAGCGAGAGAACUGUUGUUAAGGAACUCGGCAAAAUGACCCCGUAACUUAGGGAUAAGGGGUGCCACCAUCAGGUGGCCGCAGAGAAUAGGCCCAAGCGACUGUUUACCAAAAACAUAGGUUUCUGCUAAGUCGCAAGACGAUGUAUAGGAGCUGACGCCUGCCCGGUGCUGGAAGGUUAAGGGGAUCUGUUAGAGCAAUCGAAGCAGUGAACUUAAGCCCCAGUAAACGGCGGCCGUAACUAUAACGGUCCUAAGGUAGCGAAAUUCCUUGUCGGGUAAGUUCCGACCCGCACGAAAGGCGUAACGAUUUGGGCACUGUCUCAACAACAGACUCGGUGAAAUUGUAAUUCCGGUGAAGAUGCCGGAUACCUGCGACAGGACGGAAAGACCCCAUGGAGCUUUACUGUAGCUUGACAUUGGGUCUUGGUACUACAUGUACAGGAUAGGUGGGAGGCUUUGAAACCAGGACGCCAGUUUUGGCGGAGCCAUCCUUGGGAUACCACCCUUGUA
rnacentral:rRNA from 1 species